rnacentral:rRNA from 1 species
AGUGAACGCUGGCGGUAGGCCUAACACAUGCAAGUCGAACGGCAGCACAGUAAGAGCUUGCUCUUACGGGUGGCGAGUGGCGGACGGGUGAGGAAUACAUCGGAAUCUACUUUUUCGUGGGGGAUAACGUAGGGAAACUUACGCUAAUACCGCAUACGACCUACGGGUGAAAGCAGGGGAUCUUCGGACCUUGCGCGAUUGAAUGAGCCGAUGUCGGAUUAGCUAGUUGGCGGGGUAAAGGCCCACCAAGGCGACGAUCCGUAGCUGGUCUGAGAGGAUGAUCAGCUACACUGGAACUGAGACACGGUCCAGACUCCUACGGGAGGCAGCAGUGGGGAAUAUUGGACAAUGGGCGCAAGCCUGAUCCAGCCAUACCGCGUGGGUGAAGAAGGCCUUCGGGUUGUAAAGCCCUUUUGUUGGGAAAGAAAAGCAGCAGGUUAAUACCCCGCUGUUCUGACGGUACCCAAAGAAUAAGCACCAGCUAACUUCGUG